UGCGGCAAAAUUCACACAAGUGCCCUCCCUGUCAUUGAGCGCACUUGCAAGGAACGCUGCCACAGGAAAGCAGCAUCCAUCAUCAAGGACCCCCACCAUGCAGGCCGUGCUCUCUUCUCGCUGCUGUCAUCA